rnacentral:rRNA from 1 species
UGGGGAAUAUUGGACAAUGGGGGGAACCCUGAUCCAGCCAUGCCGCGUGUGUGAAGAAGGCCUUAUGGUUGUAAAGCACUUUAAGCGAGGAGGAGGGUACUGGUAUUAAUACUACCAGGUACUGGACGUUACUCGCAGAAUAAGCACCGGCUAACUCUGUGCCAGCAGCCGCGGUAAUACAGAGGGUGCGAGCGUUAAUCGGAUUUACUGGGCGUAAAGCGUGCGUAGGCGGCUAAUUGAGUCGGAUGUGAAAUCCCCGAGCUUAACUUGGGAAUUGCAUUCGAUACUGGUUAGCUAGAGUGUGGGAGAGGAUGGUAGAAUUCCAGGUGUAGCGGUGAAAUGCGUAGAGAUCUGGAGGAAUACCGAUGGCGAAGGCAGCCAUCUGGCCUAACACUGACGCUGAGGUACGAAAGCAUGGGGAGCAAACAGG